rnacentral:rRNA from 1 species
UACGGGGGGGGCAAGCGUUGUUCGGAAUUACUGGGCGUAAAGCGCACGUAGGCGGCUUUUUAAGUCAGGGGUGAAAUCCUGGAGCUCAACUCCAGAACUGCCUUUGAUACUGAGAAGCUUGAGUCCAGGAGAGGUGAGUGGAACUGCGAGUGUAGAGGUGAAAUUCGUAGAUAUUCGCAAGAACACCAGUGGCGAAGGCGGCUCACUGGCCCGGUACUGACGCUGAGGUGCGAAAGCGUGGGGAGCAAACAGG